rnacentral:rRNA from 1 species
UACGGAGGGUGCGAGCGUUGUUCGGAAUUACUGGGCGUAAAGCGCGUGUAGGCGGUCGUGUAAGUCAGAUGUGAAAGCCUUCCGCUUAACGGAAGAAGUGCAUUUGAGACUGCUCGGCUGGAGUUCGGGAGAGGAGAGUGGAAUUCCCGGUGUAGAGGUGAAAUUCGUAGAUAUCGGGAGGAACACCGGUGGCGAAGGCGGCUCUCUGGCCCGAUACUGACGCUGAGACGCGAAAGUGUGGGGAGCAAACAGG